rnacentral:rRNA from 1 species
UACGGGAGGCAGCAGUGAGGAAUAUUGGUCAAUGGACGAGAGUCUGAACCAGCCAAGUAGCGUGAAGGAUGAAGGUCCUACGGAUUGUAAACUUCUUUUAUAAGGGAAUAAAACCUCCCACGUGUGGGAGCUUGUAUGUACCUUAUGAAUAAGCAUCGGCUAACUCCGUGCCAGCAGCCGCGGUAAUACGGAGGAUGCGAGCGUUAUCCGGAUUUAUUGGGUUUAAAGGGAGCGCAGACGGGUCGUUAAGUCAGCUGUGAAAGUUUGGGGCUCAACCUUAAAAUUGCAGUUGAUACUGGCGUCCUUGAGUGCGGUUGAGGUGUGCGGAAUUCGUGGUGUAGCGGUGAAAUGCUUAGAUAUCACGAAGAACUCCGAUUGCGAAGGCAGCACACUAAGCCGUAACUGACGUUCAUGCUCGAAAGUGUGGGUAUCAAACAGGAUUAGAUACCCUGGUAGUCCACACGGUAAACGAUGGAUACUCGCUGUUGGCGAUAUACGGUCAGCGGCUUAGCGAAAGCGUUAAGUAUCCCACCUGGGGAGUACGCCGGCAACGGUGAAACUCAAAGGAAUUGACGGGGGCCCGCACAAGCGGAGGAACAUGUGGUUUAAUUCGAUGAUACGCGAG